rfam:Streptomyces katrae strain NRRL ISP-5550 contig142.5, whole genome shotgun sequence.
CUUCAGCGAGCCCACCCACAGCGGGCGGUCCGCGUCCCGGCCCUGCCCGUACGUGGCCAGCAGCGCCUGCGCCUC